rnacentral:rRNA from 1 species
GAUGAACGCUGGCGGCGUGCCUAAUACAUGCAAGUCGAGCGAACGGACGAGAAUCUUGCUUCUCUGAUGUUAGCGGCGGACGUGUGAGUAACACGUGUAUAACCUACCUAUAAUACUGGUAUAACUUCGGGAAACCGGAUCUAAUACCGUAUAAUAUUUUGAACCGCAUGGUUCAAAAGUGAAAUACGGUCUUGCUGUCACUAAUAGAUGGAUCCUCGCUGCAUUAGCUAGUUGGUAAGUUAACGGCUUACUAAGGCAACGAUGCAUAGCCGAAGUGAGAGGGUGAUCGGCAACAUGAGAACUGAGACGCGGUCCAGACGACUACGGGAGGCAGCAGUAGGGAAUCGUACGCAGUGGGCGGAAGCCUGACGGAGCAACGCCGAGUGAGUGAUGACGGUGUUCGGAUCGUAAAAAUCUGUUAUUAGGGGAAAACAUAUGUGUAAGGAACUGUGGACAUCUUGACGGUACCUAAUCAGAAAGCAACGGCUAACUACGUG